GGUGGACCGGGACGCGGUACGGCGCCUGGACGUACUACGACUGCGCCCCGAUCGAGGACGGCCGGCGCGGAUGGAUGUUCGAGCUGACCGUCGACCG
rnacentral:tRNA from 1 species